UAUCCGUAGGUGAACCUGCGGAAGGAUCAUUAUUGUAUAACCGAGGUGCGAGGGCUGUCGCUGACCCGAAAGGUCGUGCACGCCCGAGUGCCCUCACACACAUCCACCUCACCCCUAUGUGCACCACCGCGUGGGUCCCCCUUUGGCUUGUUCGGAGGGGGGCUUACGCUUUCACACAAACUUUGUAUGCAGUGUAGAAUGUAUUUUUUGUUUUUGCGAUCACGCAAUCAAUACAACUUUCAACAACGGAUCUCUUGGCUCUC
rnacentral:misc_RNA from 1 species